AUGCUGGAAUUACAGAUGUGCACCACCAUGCCUGGCAAAUUAAACAAUUUUAUCUGCUAUUUGUAUCUUAUGCUACCCAGGGAAAAAUUAAGAAGAAGAGAAGAGAGAAAACAAAUAAGUGGAGGGGAAAAAGAAAGGUAUCUUCUGAGAUGUCCAUCAUCCUUUCUGGUCCUCAGUCACUGGUCCACACCAUUUGCCACUAAGAUGUUGUCAUUCCUGUUUGUCUGGUACCUUCAGGUGAUUGCAGAAAUGUUUAAGAAGACAUGGCAUUAAACUUUUAAAGAUUUGUGGUGAUAAAACUUCUGCUGAUCAUGAAGCAGUGGAGCAAUUUAUUGGUGAGUUUGCUAAAACUAUUGGUGUUGAAAUCUGAUGCCAGAACAAGUAUGUAAUGUGGAUGAAAUAUCACUGUUUUGGCAUUAUUGCCCUGGAAGGACACUGACUACAGCUGAUGACACAGCCCCUAUAGAAUUAAGGAUGUCAGGGACAGGAUAACUGCUGAUAUGGGCUAAUGCAUAAAGUACACAUUAAGUGUAAACUUGCUGUGAUAGGCAAAAGCUGUGUCCUUGCUGUUUUCAGUAGGUGAAUUUCUUAUGUGUCCAUCAUCAUGCUAGCAAAAUAGCUUGAAUAACCAGGAAUAUCUUUUCUGAUUGGUUUCACAAAAAUUGUAUACUAGUGGCUCAGGCUCACAGCACAGAAGGCUGCACUGGGUGAUGACUACAAAAUUUUUAAAAAUUCCUUGACAAAUGUUCUGCUCAUACUCCAGCUGAAAUUCUCAUAAAAAAUAAUGUUUAUGUCAUGUACUUUCCCCAAAAUGUGACUAUUAAUUCAGCCAUGUGACAGAGUAUCCUUAGAUCAAUGAAGAGUAAAUAUAAAAACGUUUUCUUGAAUAGCAUGCAACAGCAGUGGACAGGGGCGUGGCUGUGGAAGGUUUUCAGGAGUUUAGCACGAAGUUUACCAUCUAUGCUGUUGCCAGCACUUGGAGCACAGUGAUUAAAGACAAAUUUGU
rnacentral:lncRNA from 1 species